AAGGGAGACCUAAUUCAGGUAGGAGACGAAAAAAAAGUAGUCCCAACCAAGAAUCAAUCCCAAAAGGUCGGAGCGAGGCGAAAUUGGCUUUCAAACUAGGUUCUGGGUUCACACAAGACCUGAAUCAGGAACAAGGGCUAUUAGCUCAGGUGGUUAGAGCGCACCCCUGAUAAGGGUGAGGUCCCUGGUUCGAGUCCAGGAUGGCCCACCUGCACAGGUGGCAAAAACAAGAGAAGCGAGGAAUCAGCACCUUAUCUUAUCUAUAUAUAUAUAGGAGAGAAUGCUGGCUCUGAGUAAAGAGUCCAGAGGAACCUUGAAAACUGCAUAAAGCUAGGUGAAAAAGCCAAAAAAGAAGACCGCAA
rnacentral:tRNA from 1 species